rnacentral:rRNA from 1 species
AGUGUAGGCGGCUUCGUAAGUCGGAUGUGAAAUCCCCGGGCUUAACCUGGGAAUGGCAUUCGAUACUGCGAAGCUAGAGUCUGAUAGAGGGAAGUGGAAUUCCAGGUGUAGCGGUGAAAUGCGUAGAGAUCUGGAGGAACACCAGUGGCGAAGGCGGCUUCCUGGAUCAAGACUGACGCUGAGGCUCGAAAGCGUGGGGAGCAAACA